UACGUAGGGUGCAAGCGUUGUCCGGAAUUAUUGGGCGUAAAGAGCUCGUAGGCGGUCUGUCGCGUCUGCUGUGAAAAUCCAGGGCUCAACCCUGGACCUGCAGUGGGUACGGGCAGACUAGAGUGCGGUAGGGGAGAUCGGAAUUCCUGGUGUAGCGGUGAAAUGCGCAGAUAUCAGGAGGAACACCGGUGGCGAAGGCGGAUCUCUGGGCCUGUCCUGACGCUCAGGCGCGAAAGCUAGGGGAGCAAACAGG
rnacentral:rRNA from 1 species